GUUCCGUCCCGUUCCGAAGCACUGACCAGCUCUUUCUUCCUCUUCUCUUCCUUCACGUCUGUCUUCUUGAUCUCUGCCUUGAAAGCCUCCGCCUCCCCGUUCUGGUCGUCCUUCGCCAGCAGGUCCAUGAGCUUACUGCCUGCGCCUGUGCACCUCCACCGGCGCUCGCCCGAGUGACUCUCGCUCCUGAGAUCCGUUUCAUACUUCUUGAGCUGCUAUGAUCGCAUCUGAAGUUCGGAGACGGCGGAGGGAGAAGAAGGCUAGGCUGGCAUCAUUUUGUGUUUAGCUUAACAAAAAUCAACACUUCUAUUGUCAUUCUUCAUGGAAAGUCUCCACUUAACGAGGCUGGGGUUUAAGAAGCCUUCAUAGAUCAAAGGAAAGUUAAGAAGACAGAAAAUUGAGAAGUAGUGUCAUGUACCUCCCCAGACCCGGAGGGAAACGGAGCCGCGGCCAAAAGGAGUGGGUGUAAAUGCGACGACAAAAAUAAAUACUUUAUAUCACCCUGCAGAACUUA